rnacentral:lncRNA from 1 species
UUUGGAUUCCAGACAUGCAGUCGGUUUAGCCAAAUCAGCAGAUGCUAGUCUCCCAGAGUUCUCAUCCGGUAGGGUGAAAUGAUAUUGGACCUGUUUGGAGGGAGUUGGUUUAGAUGAGAUUGUAAGCCCACUGCCCACCUGCAGCCAACCGUCCUCAGCCCUUUAAAAAUGAGUGCUCUCUCUGCCACACUAGCUGACUCAGGAGGAGGACAGUCUUGGCCUCUUCCGAGUACUGGCCGUGCUUCUUGGCCCGUCUCGGUUGGGAGGAAUCAUUUAGGGAGCGGCCCUUAAGUUGUCCACAGGGUUCCAAAUGGUCCUUGGGCUGCAUCCCUCUGGGCUGUUGGCUGGGCUCAUGCCAUGCCCUGUGGUGCCCCAGUUCUGUGCUCUCUGGCCACUGGCAGCGCAGAGACUCUCAGCUUGCAGGUUUGCAAUAGCAGAUCACCAAGACUGGGACAAGGGCAGGGCCUGCCCCCGCUUCGUGAGCUGCUGUCUCUGCAACAGACUGCGCUUCCACAGGAAAUGCCAUUGUGAUGGCGCUGCAAGUCCCAUCUCAGGUCACGCAUCUGUCCAUCCAGAAGCUCUCUGUGUGCAUGUGGAACUUAGCCAGGUAGAAUCGAUUCCAGUCCCCUUGGAAGACGGUGGUUUGCUUUUGCUGGCCUCCCAUUCUCUUGAACAAGAUCAGCAGAGUGGGAAAGGGUGGGUUCAUCAGGCUUACUCUCUAUUCAUUCAUAGGAGAAUGGAAGGCCUCCCUCAUUCAUGCACUCCAGUGAGGAGUUCAGGACCACACGGAAAGCACAGUUUCAGCUGCGAGCUCUGGUGA